UGCGGUGUGGCUCAGUGGUAGAGCACUUACCUGGCAUGUAUGAGGCACUGGGUUCGACCCUCAGCACCACAU
rnacentral:tRNA from 1 species